rnacentral:lncRNA from 1 species
AGCUGCCUUUUUAAAAAAAAAAACACAGUAAAAGGAGGCGGAGAAAAAAAAGGAAAAAGAAAAAAAAAAAGAAAAAGGGAAGACAAGAAAAGAAAAGAAAAAUACGGGGGGAGGGAACCCAUCCGCCAGGAACAAGCCACAAAAUGGCUCCAGACAUUUGCGCCAAUGAAAGGGAAAUGAUAAUUCGGUUUGCCGGAUUCCGAUUUUGAGUUGCCCGGGGUAUUGGUGAGACAAGGAAGGAAAGAGCCCACGAAAAUAUGCAGGAAAACUGAGCGAUUCGAAUUUCAGAAGGCUUCCUCCUUCCAGACCCUGCACCUAACUCUCCAAAGAUUGACUUCAGCAGCUCUUCCAAAAAGUCUGAAUAAAGUGAAAUCCUCAGUUUUAAAAGGUGAUUUACAAAUGAUGGGAAUCCCGCCUGUGAUCAAAGACUCCGUGGGCCCGUAGCUCUCAAGAGACGGGAAGUGUCUGAAAAGCAGAGGGUCAGCGGUUCGAGCCCGGCGGCGUCUCUCCUCCGAAAGAAAAUAUGGCGAAGGCAAACCUAUGCAGAAUGCUUGCCAAGAAAACUUCAGGGAUGUGACCCUUCGCCUUCCAGGACGGUCGAAGUUUCCUUUCCGUCUUUUGAUCA